rnacentral:lncRNA from 1 species
ACAAGAAAAUCCAUAGCAAAAGGAUUUUCUGUUUUCACGAAGUGACGGCCAAGUACGCGCUUAACAGCCGUCAAUUCGUGAAAACAUCGUUUGCUCUUUUCCUGCUUUUAAUAUUUUCACGAAGUGACGGGAGUGAAAAUUUCGCAGUUUGGAACAGUCACAGACCAUGAAAAGUUUCAGAUGCAGUAGAUACAAUUCGCACUUAUAUGAAGGAAGCACUGGGAAAGUACAUCUACUUUUCAAGAAUGCCACAGGCCAGACACAAAUCCAGAUUGGAUACAGGGACCAACAUGCUGGUAAGAUGGGUCCUUGAUAAUUCACUGAACACAGAGCUGCAGAUGUGACUUGGCUUAGUGACCUAAGAGUGGGAGCGGUAUGGAACCGUUGAAGCAAUUCACCGAACACUGUUGAAGCAAUUCACCGAUCACAGUCAGAGCUGCAUGUGUGACUUGGCAUGGUGACCCUUAAAGUCUCCUGACGGCUCCGAUUGCGAUUCUGAUGAUGACCCAAUGUCUAUGCUUGUGAGCGAGUCAAAAGGUAUCUUUUUUCCUUCUUGAUUGUUUCCCAAUAGUUAAAAUUUAAGAUAUUCUUAAUUGUUUUUAAUGCUUAGGUCUCUAAGUUAAGGGAAUGAGUGGUCCUAUCGAGGUCAGCAUCUAAUUUUUUUUAAAUCCUUAACAAAAAUUUCCAAUACUAAGGUGAUACCACAAUAAGUAUUUAAUUUAUUAAGAGACUCUCUAAAAUUGGGUACCAAAACUACACAUAAUAAUUUCGCCCAAUCAUAAUGCACUGUAAAGUUUCCCUUUCAUAAUUGAAAUUCUGAUGAUUUUUUAUUGAUUUUGACUUGGACUUUUUUAAUUAUGAUUUUUCUUUCUCUUAUUUCCUUUUACUAUCAAGCAGUUUAGAUCAAGGAUCUUUGCUGCUUCAACCACUAUCGCUUGGAUGACAUAUGUGUGAAGAAACAUGAAGAACUUGCGUUGAAGGGCAUGCUUGAGAAACUAGAAUCAAUUACAUUGAUCGUUUUGGCAAUGCUUUAAUGUUUCAAUACCUCAAUCUCUCUUUUAUACUGUUUGAUUUUAAACAUUUUGAAUAUCAUAAAUAAAGCAAACUCCACUCAUAAUUGUAAUUGUGUGUACUAGUAAUCACAAUGAAAUGGAUUGAUUAUAAAAUCAAUGAAUUGAUUUAAAGCAAACUGGUAACAUUUUCCGUGAGUUCUGAAACAAUGAACUGAAUGGUCGUACAGGUGUCAGUUUUCUGUUACAGUAUUGUAAUGAACUCCUGCAAACAUAAAUCUUUAAUAUUUAAAUGUAAAGCUCAGAACUGCUAUUUAUCAGGUAUACCUACCUCAAUCAGUAAUGCAUAUUAGAGUUUUUUUUUUUAUUCCAGUUCCAUGAAUCCUCAUAUCGUAUCUUUGUAUUGAAGAAUUUGUUUAUCUAUUUUCUUUAAAUGUUUGUAUUCACAGGGGUUGAUGCCUUCAUUAGAACAUGAAUAUAAGUUACAUUUCCAUAAUUGGUUUUUCUCUUAAAACACAAUGUUACUAAUUCACAUUUAAUGUUUUAAUUUGUUACUUCUAUAGUCAUUCUCAUCAUAAUUGUAUUUGGUACUUCAAACUAUCCUAUAAUGAUCAUACAAUAUAAUGUUGCUGUUUUUAAUUGUAUCUGUUUGAUGAGAAAUGAAAUUGUUUACUCAAAUUGAUAUUUCCAUGUUUAUCAUGCAUUGUUUAGCUGAUAAUAGUUUAGUCAGAGAUUACGUGUUUACCUGGGUGAAGACAACCUUUAAGCAUUGGUAAACUUUGUAGCGUUUGAGACUGUGUACUAAAUUUUAUUGAAAUACCCUAGAAAGAGAUUGUGUAAACUGACUUGGUUCUGAUACUCUACUCACCAGAUAUUUAUGAAAAACAGUGAUGAACAAAAAAGUAACGAUGAUGAUUAUAUUAGUCAUUUUUCCCAUUGAAAAACUUCAUGAUACAUGUAGUACAUGUAUGUCGAGCAUUUUGUAUGUCACAUGUGGCAUUUACUCGCUACGAUUGCUGAAUAAACAUGAUAACCAAGUCGUAUAUAAAGAAUUAGAUAAAGACAUUUUAGCAUAUUUACAAGUACUGUAUAAUGAAUGAAAUAACCUUUGUAUUCCGUGGAUGUAUAACUGAUGAGUCUUUU